AACGAACGCUGGCGGCAUGCCUAACACAUGCAAGUCGAACGAGAUCCUUCGGGGUCUAGUGGCGCACGGGUGCGUAACGCGUGGGAAUCUGCCCUUAGGUUCGGAAUAACAGUUAGAAAUGACUGCUAAUACCGGAUGAUGACGUUAAGUCCAAAGAUUUAUCGCCUGAGGAUGAGCCCGCGUAGGAUUAGCUAGUUGGUGUGGUAAAGGCGCACCAAGGCGACGAUCCGUAGCUGGUCUGUGAGGAUGAUCAGCCACACUGGGACUGAGACACGGCCCAGACUCCUACGGGAGGCGGCAGUGGGGAAUAUUGGACAAUGGGCUCAAUCCUGAUCCAGCAAUGCCGCGUGAGUGAUGAAGUCCUUAGAGUUGUAAAGCUCUUUUACCCGGGAUGAUAAUGACAGUACCGGGAGAAUAAGCCCCGGCUAACUCCGUG
rnacentral:rRNA from 1 species